AUUGAACGCUGACGGCAGGCCCAACACAUGCAAGUCGAACGAAGUCUUCGGACUUAGUGGCGGACGGGUGAGUAACACGUGGGAACGUGCCUUUAGGUUCGGAAUAACUCAGGGAAACUUGUGCUAAUACCGAAUGUGCCCUUCGGGGGAAAGAUUUAUCGCCUUUAGAGCGGCCCGCGUCUGAUUAGCUAGUUGGUGAGGUAAAGGCUCACCAAGGCGACGAUCAGUAGCUGGUCUGAGAGGAUGAUCAGCCACAUUGGGACUGAGACACGGCCCAGACUCCUACGGGAGGCAGCAGUGGGGAAUCUUGCGCAAUGGGCGAAAGCCUGACGCAGCCAUGCCGCGUGAAUGAUGAAGGUCUUAGGAUUGUAAAAUUCUUUCACCGGGGACGAUAAUGACGGUACCCGGAGAAGAAGCCCCGGCUAACUUCGUGCCAGCCGCCGCCGUAA
rnacentral:rRNA from 1 species